rnacentral:lncRNA from 1 species
GGUGGGGCCGCAUUCCCGGGCACGCGGCCCACUCCCCACCCUCCACUGCCGCCUGGUUCCCAGCGGGUGCCCAGGCACAGCUCCCUCAGCCUGUAGGACUCCUAUCAGUGCACAAUGUCCUGUCUGUUUCUGGUGCCUGGUCAGGUCAGGCCUGCCCACACCAGACAUGCCCUUCAGACUCCAGAGGCCCCCACCUCACAGCAAACCCCAGGUCCUGGGCUGGGACUUUGGCCUGAAGAUAGGAACUGGCUGGAGUCAGUGUUCUAUGUGAGGACCUCCCUAUCCAGGACAGGCUGCCUCCUCCCUAAGUCGGUUUUCUCAUGUUUCCCCUAGAAGAUAAUAACAAACAGCACAGCUUUUCCAGGCACCUCUCUAAGCAUCCAUCUUAUAUUCACUCACUUCAUCUGCACAGCAGCUCCAAGAGGGAGUCCCCGUUAUCAUCAUCACCAUCUUCAUCAUCCCAUUUUCCAGGUGAGCACAUAGAGCCAGGCUAAAUAACUUGCUCCGAGGCCACACAUCUGAAAAGGCAGAGUCCGGAUUUGAACCCAGGCCCCCUAACCCUGAAUCCACCACAGAGCCGGCUACAGAGCCGAGGCUCUACAAGGGCCUUGAGUCUCAGCCCUUGGAGUUCCAGCUGGGGCACCAGAGCCCAGAGAGGGAAGGACAACGCACAAAGUCAGCCAGCCAGGAGGCCAGAUCCCAUCCUGUAUGGUGAAAUUCCUUGGAAAAGGCUGCCCCAUCCAUAGGGAUGUAUUUGCUUGGUGCAAAAUUAAUUACGGUUUUUGCCAUUACUUCAAUAGCAAAAACUACAAUUACUUUGUACCAACCUAAUAGUUUGUGCACCUGUUUUCUUGAGCGAGAGAGAGAAAAAGCACGUGCAUCUGAGUCUAAUGAGCCUACCUAGUAGGUUCUGCUGCCAAGUGUCCAUUCCCCCACCCCACCCACAGCCCCUGCCCUCAUAGCCAGGCCCCCUCCCUACAUUGUUCCCAUCUCACCUAAAAGAACAUGCACAUUUUUCUGCGGAAGACACACCUCUUUCCUUGCUGCAAUCUAAGGAGGGUGGGGGGACUGAAAAGAAAAGAAAAGAAAAAAAAAAAAAAAAA